UACGAAGGGGGGCUAGCGUUGCUCGGAAUCACUGGGCGUAAAGCGCACGUAGGCGGAUUGUUAAGUCAGGGGUGAAAUCCUGGAGCUCAACUCCAGAACUGCCUUUGAUACUGGCGAUCUCGAGUCCGGGAGAGGUGAGUGGAACUGCGAGUGUAGAGGUGAAAUUCGUAGAUAUUCGCAAGAACACCAGUGGCGAAGGCGGCUCACUGGCCCGGGUACUGACGCUGAGGUGCGAAAGCGUGGGGAGCAAACAGG
rnacentral:rRNA from 1 species